AUCACGGUAGCUUUACUGAUAGAGUAUUGGGUACUCAUAGCCCAAGGCGUGGGUUCGAAUCCCGUCGGUGACA
rnacentral:tRNA from 1 species